UCUCCUGCCUCCAGGUGUUUUCCUCCUGGCUCCUCUACAUCUGCUGAUCCUGAGCCUACCUGUCCGCCCUCCGACGUACUCCCGUUGCCUCCUGGAUCCCCGCUGUCAGACAAGACGACCACCUGGAACCUCUGAGAACAAACCCCGGACGCUGCAGUUACCCUCCCACUUCUCUAACCUGCCGAUCACAAUGAACUGUUUGAUUCCCAGAACCAGCCUCUCUCCCUGGACCCGACCCGAGCCAACUAUUCCUGCCAGCAGUGUUUUUCAAUAAAUUUAUCUUUUAUUUCACAUUG